AUGGAACGCUGGCGGAAUGCUUUACACAUGCAGGUCGAACGGCAGCACGGACUUCGGUCUGGUGGCGAGUGGCGAACGGGUGAGUAAUGUAUCGGAGCGUGCCCAGUCGUGGGGGAUAAUGUAGUGAAAAUUACGCUAAUACCGCAUACGAUCUAUGGAUGAACGCGGGGGAUCGCAAGACCUCGCGCGAUUGGAGCGGCCGAUAUCAGAUUAGGUAGUUGGUGGGGUAAAGGCCCACCAAGCCAACGAUCUGUAGCUGGUCUGAGAGUACGCCCAGCCACACUGGAACCGAGACACGGUCCAGACUCCUACGGGAGGCAGCAGUGGGGAAUUUUGGACAAUGGGCGAAAGCCUGAUCCAGCCAUUCCGCGUGCAGGAUGAAGGCCCUCGGGUUGUAAACUGCUUUUGUACAGAACCAAAAGGUUUCUACUAAUACUAGGAGCUCAUGACGGUACUGUAAGAAUAAGCACCGGCUAACUACGUGCCAGCAGCCGCAGUAA
rnacentral:rRNA from 1 species